AGUGAACGCUGGCGGUAGGCCUAACACAUGCAAGUCGAACGGCAGCACAGUAAGAGCUUGCUCUUACGGGUGGCGAGUGGCGGACGGGUGAGGAAUACAUCGGAAUCUACUUUUUCGUGGGGGAUCACGUAGGGAAACUUACGCUAAUACCGCAUACGCCCUACGGGUGAAAGCAGGGGAUCUUCGGACCUUGCGCGAUUGAAUGAGCCGAUGUCGGAUUAGCUAGUUGGCGGGGUAAAGGCCCACCAAGGCGACGAUCCGUAGCUGGUCUGAGAGGAUGAUCAGCCACACUGGAACUGAGACACGGUCCAGACUCCUACGGGAGGCAGCAGUGGGGAAUAUUGGACAAUGGGCGCAAGCCUGAUCCAGCCAUGCCGCGUGGGUGAAGAAGGCCUUCGGGUUGUAAAGCCCUUUUGUUGGGAAAGAAAAGCAGCAGGUUAAUACCCCGCUGUUCUGACGGUACCCAAAGAAGAAGCACCGGCUAACUUCGUG
rnacentral:rRNA from 1 species